CAUAGGUUUGGUCCCAGCCUUCCUGUUAACUCUCAACAGACUUACACAUGCAAGCAUCCACGCCCCGGUGAGUAACGCCCUCCAAAUCAAUAAGACUAAGAGGAGCAGGUAUCAAGCACACAUCUUGUAGCUUACAACGCCUCGCUUAACCACACCCCUACGGGAGACAGCAGUGACAAAAAUUAAGCCAUAAACGAAAGUUUGACUAAGCCAUGUUGAUCAGGGUUGGUAAAUCUCGUGCCAGCCACCGCGGUCAUACGAUUAACCCAAGCUAACAGGAAUACGGCGUAAAACGUGUUAAAGCACUACAUCAAAUAGAGUUAAAUUCUAAUUAAACUGUAAAAAGCCAUAAUUACAACAAAAAUAGAUGACGAAAGUAACCCUACUGCAGCUGAUACACUAUAGCUAAGACCCAAACUGGGAUUAGAUACCCCACUAUGCUUAGCCCUAAACACAAAUAAUUACAGAAACAAAAUUAUUCGCCAGAGUACUACCGGCAACAGCCCGAAACUCAAAGGACUUGGCGGUGCUUUAUACCCUUCUAGAGGAGCCUGUUCUAUAAUCGAUAA
rnacentral:rRNA from 1 species